rnacentral:rRNA from 1 species
GAGUCGUCCUGCGCGAAGAUGUACGGGCUAGCCAUAUCCGAAGCUGCGGAUGCGAGCUAGUCUCGCAUGUAGGAGAGCGUUCCGUAAGCCUGCGAAGGUGCGUUGAAAAGCGUGCUGGAGGUAUCGGAAGUGCGAAUGCUGACAUGAGUAGCGAUAAAGGGGGUGAAAGGCCCCCUCGCCGUAAGCCCAAGGUUUCCUACGCAACGUUCAUCGGCGUAGGGUGAGUCGGCCCCUAAGGCGAGGCAGAAAUGCGUAGCUGAUGGGAAGCAGGUCAAUAUUCCUGCACCGUCGUUAGAUGCGAUGGGGGGACGGAUCGCGGAAGGUUGUCCGGGUGUUGGAAGUCCCGGUCGCUGCAUUGGAGAAGGCGCUUAGGCAAAUCCGGGCGCAGGAUUCAAGGGUGUGGCGCGAGCUCCUUCGGGAGCGAAGCAAUUGGAAGUGGUUCCAAGAAAAGCCUCUAAGCUUCAGUCUAACGAUGACCGUACCGCAAACCGACACAGGUGGGCGAGAUGAGUAUUCUAAGGCGCUUGAGAGAACUCGGGAGAAGGAACUCGGCAAAUUGGUACCGUAACUUCGGGAUAAGGUACGCCCUGGUAGCUUGACUGGCCUGCGCCAGAAGGGUGAAGGGGUUGCAAUAAACUGGUGGCUGCGACUGUUUAAUAAAAACACAGCACUCUGCAAACACGAAAGUGGACGUAUAGGGUGUGACGCCUGCCCGGUGCCGGAAGAUUAAAUGAUGGGGUGCAAGCUCUUGAUUGAAGUCCCGGUAAACGGCGGCCGUAACUAUAACGGUCCUAAGGUAGCGAAAUUCCUUGUCGGGUAAGUUCCGACCUGCACGAAUGGCGUAACGAUGGCCACACUGUCUCCUCCCGAGACUCAGCGAAGUUGAAGUGUUUGUGAUGAUGCAAUCUACCCGCGGCUAGACGGAAAGACCCCAUGAACCUUUACUGUAGCUUUGCAUUGGACUUUGAACCGAUCUGUGUAGGAUAGGUGGGAGGCUAUGAAACCGGAACGCUAGUUUCGGUGGAGCCGUCCUUGAAAUACCACCCUGGUUUGUUUGAGGUUCUAACCUUGGC